GAACAAAUUGGUCAGGAAAUGUUGGAAAACCUUAGUCAUGACAGAGAAAAGAUACAGCGAGCACGUGAAAGACUUCGGGAAACAGAUGCUAACUUGGGGAAAAGCUCCAGGAUUCUGACGGGGAUGUUGCGAAGAAUCAUCCAGAACCGCAUCCUGCUCGUUAUCCUAGGGAUCAUCGUGGUUCUCACCAUCCUGAUGGCGAUCACUUUUUCUGUCAGAAGGCAAUGAUGUAUCUGCUGUCCCCUGAUAAACAGCAACAACGACUUGUUCUGAGUAAUUAAG